GUCUGCCGGACGUGGUGGUCCGGUACUGACGAGCAGCCGAGG
rnacentral:hammerhead_ribozyme from 1 species